UGGAUUGGUGCCUUCGGGAACUCUGAGACAGGUGCUGCAUGGCUGUCGUCAGCUCGUGUUGUGAAAUGUUGGGUUAAGUCCCGCAACGAGCGCAACCCUUAUCCUUUGUUGGCAGCGGUUCGCCCGGGAACUCAAAGGAGACUGCCACUGAUAAACUGGAGGAUGGUGGGGAUGACGUCAAGUCAUCAUGGCCCUUACGAGUAGGGCUACACACGUGCUACAAUGGCGCAUACAAAGAGAAGCGACCUCGCGAGAGCAAGCGGACCUCAUAAAGUGCGUCGUAGUCCGGAUUGGAGUCUGCAACUCGACUCCAUGAAGUCGGAAUCGCUAGUAAUCGUAGAUCAGAAUGCUACGGUGAAUACGUUCCCGGGCCUUGUACACACCGCCCGUCACACCAUGGGAG
rnacentral:rRNA from 1 species